CACACCGCCCGUCCACACCAUGGGAGUUUGUUGCACCAGAAGCAGGUAGCUUAACCUUCGGGAGGGCGCUUGCCACGGUGUGGCCGAUGACUGGGGUG
rnacentral:rRNA from 1 species